GUGCUUGCUUCGGCAGCACAUAUACUAAAACUGGAAAGAUACAGAGAUUAGCAUGGCCCCAUGCACAUGGAUAGCAUCCAAUAAAAAUAAAUAAAUCUUAAAAAA